rnacentral:rRNA from 1 species
UACGAAGGGUGCAAGCGUUACUCGGAAUUACUGAGCGUAAAGCGUGCGUAGGUGGUUCGUUAAGUCUGAUGUGAAAGCCCUGGGCUCAACCUGGGAAUUGCAUUGGAUACUGGCAGGCUAGAGUGCGGUAAAGGAUGGCGGAAUUCCCGGUGUAGCAGUGAAAUGCGUAGAGAUCGGGAGGAACAUCUGUGGCGAAAGCAGCCAUCUGGACCAGCACUGACACUGAGGCACGAAAGCGUGGGAAGCAAACAGG